AGAGAGAACCCUUCCUCCGGGGAGGUUACAGUGAGAAGAUAGCCUACGAGGAAGUGGGCCCUCAUCAGACACUGAAACUGCUGGUGUCUUGGUCUUAGACUUCCCAGCCUCCGGAACUCUGGACCACAUUUCCCAGCUUCCCUUGCAGUUCUAUUCAAUCAUGUGACCAAGUUCUAGCCCUGGAAAGGGGCAGAAGUGAUAUGUAUGACACCUCCAGGUUGAGGCAAUUAAGGACAGAUAUUUCUUCUACAUAUUUGCUCUCUUCUCUCAUCUAGUGGAUGGAAACGCAGGACCCAAUCAAAGGCUCUAUGGCUUUGGAUAACACAGCAACUAGACAGAAGGAAACUUGGUACCUGAAUGGCUGUGUGGAGCAAUCUCUCUCACUCCCCUGCCCACCUCUAUUGGACUGUGAUACAAGAUUGGACUGUGAACAAGAAAUAAACAUUAUGAUGUUUAAUCCUAAGAUUUGAGAUUUGUUUAUUAGAGCAAUCAGGCUACUCUGUUGUAAAUUGAUUGCAAAAUUUCCUCCAAUUAUUUCUCUUCCAUACAAUGUGAUUUAGCAGUUUCUUCCAUCAAGUGGUGGUGUUUAUUUUCCAUUCCUUGGACCUAGGUUUGGCCAUGUGUCUUGAACUGGCACAUGAAAUGUAGCAGAAGUGACAGAGCCAGUUCCAAGCCUAGGCCUCAAGAGACCUUGCAGGCUUUUGCUUACUCUUUGAGAUCUCAGACUCCACCACGCGAAGAAGCCAGACUAGUCUGCUGAAGGUUGAGAAACAACAUGGAGAAGAGCGAAUUGUCCAAGCAGACCAGAAGUUAAUAAAUCAAGCCAAGCUGAAUCAACCAAACUCAGACCAGAUCAGCAGAACUUCCGAGCCAGCCAAUCCAUAGAUUUAUGAAAAAUAAUAAGUGGUUGUUUUAUGUCACUAAGUUUUGGAGUUCUUUGUUACACAGCAAGAAAUAACUAAUAUGCCU
rnacentral:lncRNA from 1 species